AUGACAAACAGGCGCACGCUCCUG
rnacentral:siRNA from 1 species